UACGUAGGGUGCGAGCGUUAAUCGGAAUUACUGGGCGUAAAGCGUGCGCAGGCGGUUUUGUAAGCCAGAUGUGAAAGCCCCGGGCUCAACCUGGGAAUGGCAUUUGGGACUGCAAGGCUGGAGUUUGGCAGAGGAGACUGGAAUUCCUGGUGUAGCAGUGAAAUGCGUAGAUAUCAGGAGGAACACCGAUGGCGAAGGCAGCCUUCUGGGCCAACACUGACGCUCAUGCACGAAAGCGUGGGGAGCAAACAGG
rnacentral:rRNA from 1 species